GACGAACGCUGGCGGCGUGCUUAACACAUGCAAGUCGAACGGAAAGGCCCUGCUUUUGUGGGGUGCUCGAGUGGCGAACGGGUGAGUAACACGUGAGUAACCUGCCCUUGACUUUGGGAUAACUUCAGGAAACUGGGGCUAAUACCGGGUAGGAACUCCUGCUGCAUGGUGGGGGUUGGAAAGUUUCGGCGGUUGGGGAUGGACUCGCGGCUUAUCAGCUUGUUGGUGGGGUAGUGGCUUACCAAGGCUUUGACGGGUAGCCGGCCUGAGAGGGUGACCGGCCACAUUGGGACUGAGAUACGGCCCAGACUCCUACGGGAGGCAGCAGUGGGGAAUAUUGCACAAUGGGCGGAAGCCUGAUGCAGCAACGCCGCGUGCGGGAUGACGGCCUUCGGGUUGUAAACCGCUUUCGCCUGUGACGAAGCGUGAGUGACGGUAAUGUAUAAAGAAGCACCGGCUAACUACGUG
rnacentral:rRNA from 1 species